rnacentral:rRNA from 1 species
UACGUAGGGGGCAAGCGUUGUCCGGAUUUAUUGGGCGUAAAGAGCGUGUAGGCGGCCAUGUAGGUCCGUUGUGAAAACUCGAGGCUCAACCUCGAGACGCCGAUGGAAACCAUGUGGCUAGAGUCCGGAAGAGGAGAGUGGAAUUCCUGGUGUAGCGGUGAAAUGCGCAGAUAUCAGGAGGAACACCGAUGGCGAAGGCAGCUCGCUGGGACGGUACUGACGCUGAGGCGCGAAAGCGUGGGGAGCAAGCAGG